CAGCUUUUCUCUCUGGCU
rnacentral:miRNA from 1 species